GUAAGCAUAUUUUUCUGCCCUGGCUCCCUUUCUACUGAAUGGAGAUGAUAUUAAUAGGAUACUUUAAAGCUAUGAUUUCCAAACUUCUGAUGGUGCAUACCUAUCAGAUACAAGAAAAUGAGUACCUACCCAAAUCAUUUAUUGAAUUCACAUACAUAUGUACAAUCACUGCACCGAUGUGCUGUUUACUGCAAACGUAUAACUUUCAAAGGAUGCGAUAAAACUAAAUAAUACAUUUACACUAUUUUCUUUUAACUGUAGAAAAUGUAUAUUCUUUUGCUCUCAUUCUAACUUGUGAUUGGAGUACAAGUAGUAAGGAGGAAUAUGCUUCACACACGUAAAUUACACACGUAAAUCACACACCAAAUGCUGAAAGAAAACAGCCAGUGAGCACCUCCUCUCCGCAUGCUUCACCGUGGGCACUCAGGUCACUUUUCAUGGUUGUCUGUGCCUGUCAGACGUACACAGGAAAGGAGGGGCAGGAAGAUGGGUGAGGGGAUCCGUCUGUACAGUGUUAAUAACGUCUGAUUUUCUUCUUUGAUCAAAAGAGAUAAAAAAAGUUGUAAUGGUUUCUUUCUGUAACCCAGUUAAUCAUUAUCGUGGGGGUGCAGUCACUGCUCCGUGUGCCUUCGUUAACACAAGAGCAGGCUCGGAUCCAAGUUUUGUGGAACUUGGGACUGUUACAACUUCUGGGGAAAGGAAACUCUUUAAGAAAAAGAGCACACACACAAAUCUUACUUUUGCAACUUCUUACAAACUCUGUGAUCCUAGCGGUCCUGGGUCCUCCCAGAGUGGCUCCCGGGGUGAUGGGAGAGGAUUCUGGGGGCGGGGGGCCCGGCACCCCCAGCAAGGAGGACGGCCUGCCUCCAGAUCCUUCUCUUCCUACAGGCCUGUCCUCGACGUCUGUCCCGUUUCUCUCUGCGGCUCUCACACGCCCCUCUGCUCGCCUGAACCCGUCCGCCCGGACGCCACGCGGGGCCGCCCAGGAGAACCCAGCGGCAGAAUUCUUUGAAACAAAGACCUAACCACGGACCUGCGGCUCCGAAGGCGGCCGAGGGACACGCCACGUUUACCCAGCAUGCCUCGGGCGGCCUCAGGACUGGCUGGCUGCGGCCACGUGACUGGGCCGCUCGUGAUCACGUCACGCGGCCGCGCACAAGCCCCGAUCUGCGGCUGCGCGGGGAGGGGCCCCAGAGGCGGGAAGGCCCGGGGGCUGCGGGCCGGUUGCUGGCCGGGCUGGCCUGGUCGCGGGAAGAGCUUGCCGCCUGCGUGGUUUGGGGACCGAUGCCCAUCCUGCUCGCGCGGCCUCGUCGUGCAGCCCGCGCCUGCGCCUGCCUUCCUUCCUUCCUUCCUGACAGGUAGGAGCGGAUUUGGGGGCGCAGGGAGCCAGGCGUGCUGGAAAGAUCCUAAAAGAAACCGGAGGAACCUUCUAGAAUGUGUGUCUGAAUGAGCUCUGGGAACACUGACCAUACGUGUUACACGUGAAUGGGUCCAGUGCGGAAGGAGGAAAGCCCAGCCAGGCCGCAGGAUUUAAGGAUUUUCAGCCUGUGGAUUAAGGAAGUAGAAGUCUUAAUUUUUAGAGCCGCUCUGUCAGGCACUUUACAGCUUCCUUUCUAAGUGCUAAGUGCCAUAAAUCUCUGGACGGCCGGUCUCCAAACUCACAUGUAAACGGUCCUGCACACGAGCAGCAAUGGCCACCGACACAAUUCACAGAUGCUCCCCCAGUGGAGGCCCAGGAUCCCAGGGAGAGGGCGAGAGCCCUGAGCUGCUGAACAAAUCCUCUGGUUGAGACGAAGGAUCUGUUUUCCACGCACCUGACUUGCUCACUCACUGAGGGCAUAGUUGGCCGAGGGUCCGCACAUCCAGCUGCUGUCUUUGACCUCUGCCUGUCCCGGGAAGUAGGCAGAAUGCGGUGAGUGGCCGUGACGUUCAGCUCCUCUCGCUGCGUUUCGACAGAGAGGACCUCAGAAUGAGGAGGAAAGUCGAGUACGUCAUUUGGAGAAAGGACACGGUCACACCGGAGACGUAGUGAGCCUACCCAGUUAGACGGGUAAGUGGGACAGCAGAGCGCAUGCACAGCGAGUAAAAGUACCUCCCGGGCCUGGCCAGUAGGAAGGGCCGGACAAGGUGCUGGAGACAGAGCGGAAGUGGACACCAUCUUCUGAGGAAUGUGUCCUCCCUCAAGCCGGGUGAGCCGUGUAGACCAGAUGUGACCAUCACGUGUGGACCAGACAUAACCAUCACUAGCUGACUCUCCCCUUCACACUUGGAUCUAGGAUAGCUGGCACCCGCUUGAAAAGUACAAGGAAGCUACUAGAAAGAUUAGAAGUCUUCGCACUUCCAUUUGGAACAUUUUUCAGGUAGCUAAGGGUGGUGAUGAUUCGUUUAUUUUGUCUUUAAAUUCCUGGUAGUUUAGAAAAAUUUGGGGAAACCUGGCAAACUAGUCACAAUCAAGUAGCGGGUGGACAAGCAUGUGGUGACAGUGCAGCCGUAAGGCCUGAAUUUUAAAAGUCGCCUCAUACUCAGCUGUGCGCACAGCCCUGUCCAGAGCCCUGGACAUCCAUUUAUGAGCACUGAGGUGCCAGGGUUACUCGUUUCUUCCCUUCUGCUCACGUGACUUUUCUUCAGCGAAGUGUAUGGAAUUGUAGUAAGGAAACAUCGAGUGGAUUACAGAAGCCGGAAGCAUUAGAAAGGAGCUCCCUACAAUGGGCACCGUUCUGCAUAAACACACACACACGACCGCUUCUGCACCCCAGAAGGAGGCCCCUCGUGGCUGGCGUGCUCUGGAACCCUGCUUCUGGAAGUUUCCCCAUCACGGAUCUGUCCGCAGCAGCGUUUCUGUGCGCCCCGGCUGGGCAGCCCAGCAUUGGGUUGGACCCGGACGUGUGGCACAGACAGUGUUUACGGCUCGAGGCGAGGUCUCUGGUAUGGCUGCGGCCACUUUGAGUCUGGGCCAUGACUGAUCUGAGAGCAGAAUUAAAAUCGCGGAUCCCCGGCCUGUCCGGAGGCCUGUCCUGGGCCUCCAGCCCGCCUGGGUGAGGGUGACGCCCUGGCCCACACAGUGGCCUCUGAGUCAAGAGGCAUGGCGGCCCCUUCGUCGUGGUUUCUAGCCCAGAUUUUCACCCGAAUUGAGCCGGUGCUCCCGUGUCUUCAUGAAGUGCACCUGUGUGGGGGGUGUGGCCGGCAGGCUCUCCCAGUGUGUCGCUGUGGUUGGUAGUGAACAGUCCCGGGGGCCUGUCCCCGCGUCGGUCCGUGGGUUGCCUCGCCUGGCCUGGCAGAGGUGCGGGAGAGCCCCAGCAAAGCCAGGCCGUCUGCGCAGUGCUCUCGGGAUUUGUUGGACUCAGCCCGUCAGAUCUGGACGUUGACGGGGGGUUUUAACUCCUAAGAGGUAACAGACGGUCCUGAAAAGGGUCCUGUGAACAAGCCUUCUGUACUGAGGUCCUGGUGCCAGCGGAGGUGGAGGGGACCCGGUAGCGAGGCGGGCUGAGGGUGUGAUGGCUGGGGGUCCCCUGCAGACAGAGUCCUCCAUCGGGGGCACUUACGGGCACAACCCUGCAUCAGGGACAGGUGAGGGCACAUCUCUCCAUCAUGGGCACCUGUGGGCCCGUCUCUCAGUUGGGAGCUGUGACUGGGGGUUCAGACGUGGGGUGACAUCUAUGUCCCUCUCUCCCAGGACCACACGUGUGGGAUCAUGCUCUGUGGUAGGUUUACUCAAAAUUUAGGGUUGCAUAGAUGGGAUUUCUCCUCCAUCUGGAAAUACCACGGACAGCACGAACACUAGAAACCUUUGUUAACCUAGUUUACUCGGAGAUACCAUUUUGUUGUAAAUGUUCCCAGUUUUAAACAGGCGGUCCUCUUCUGCAUUUGGGAGAAGGUUUAAGUUCGUAUGCGAACCAACCCCUGAACAAGUGCACGGCCCUGCUUGCUAAAGUGUGCGGCCCACGUGGUCCCCCCCCUCCCCCACACGCCGUGGAGACCUCCGCCAACAGGUAGUCUGUUCCCCGGGACACCAGCGGUCUGCCUUCUAGGGGGCGCCCCGGGGCAGGUGGUCCCUCUCGUCACCCGGCCGCCUGCCUGAAGGUCCUUUUGUGGUUGGGCACACGGCAGCCCUCAGAAAUCGGGUCCGCUUUCUUCCAGAUGUUUCAAUGCAGCACAGCUCAGCAGCGGCCCGCCUGCGGCCCCUCUGAGGACAUUCGGACUGAUGCCGUCACUAAUGUGGCUCCGAUCUAGGGCUGGGCCAACUCAAAAUAGCUUAACAUAUGGACGCCUCAU